CGGUGUCAAUGUGGGCCAGCGCUUCACUGUGGGGGACAUGGUUUCCUUUCAGUGUGACCAAGGCUACUCUCUGAAGGGUAAUGAAUACAUAACGUGUAUGCCAGGGCCCGUCAGACGAUGGAAUUACCCCGUACCUCUGUGCUUAGCUCAGUGCGGAGGCUCUAUGACAGACUUCAGUGGUGUGAUCCUGAGUCCAGGCUUCCCAGGGAAUUACCUCAGCAGUCUGGACUGUAGCUGGA